UCACCCUUCUCAGCACGCAUUUUCUCCCAGACAAACAUGUCAGCUGCUGAGUGGUCCCACUGUCUGCACAUAGAUCUCAAAUCCAGCACAUUGCAAAGAGCUUCAUGACAAGAAAUAUGGCUUCAUAAUCACAACGUUAAUCACUGAUCUCCUCCACGCGUUAAGCUUUGCCAUGCUUCAUAAUGAGUUGUAUAAAGUAUCUCUGCCCUACUCGCU
rnacentral:lncRNA from 1 species